rnacentral:rRNA from 1 species
AGUGAACGCUGGCGGUAGGCCUAACACAUGCAAGUCGAACGGCAGCACAGUAAGAGCUUGCUCUUACGGGUGGCGAGUGGCGGACGGGUGCGGAAUACAUCGGAAUCUACUUUUUCGUGGGGGAUAACGUAGGGAAACUUACGCUAAUACCGCAUACAACCUGCGGGUGAAAGCAGGGGAUCUUCGGACCUUGCGCGAUUGAAUAAGCCGAUGUCGGAUUAGCUAGUUGGCGUGGUAAAGGCCCACCAAGGCGCCGAACCGUAGCUGGUCUGAGAGGAUGAGCAGCCACACUGGAACUGAGACACGGUCCAGACUCCGACGGGAGGCAGCAGUGGGGAAUAUUGGGCAAUGGGCGCAAGCCUGAUCCAGCAAUACCGCGUGGGUGAAGAAGGCCUUCGGGUUGUAAAGCCCUUUUGUUGGGAAAGAAAAGCAGCAGGUUAAUACCCCGCUGUUCUGACGGUACCCAAAGAAUAAGCACCGGCUAACUUCGUG